rnacentral:rRNA from 1 species
GACGAACGCUGGCGGCGUGCUUAACACAUGCAAGUCGAACGGUAAGGCCCUUCGGGGUACACGAGUGGCGAACGGGUGAGUAACACGUGGGUGAUCUGCCCUGCACUUCGGGAUAAGCCUGGGAAACUGGGUCUAAUACCGGAUAGGACCACUGCCUGCAUGGGUGGUGGUGGAAAGCUUUUGCGGUGUGGGAUGGGGCCGCGGCCUAUCAGCUUGUUGGGGGGGUGAUGGCCUACCAGGGCGACGACGGGUAGCUGGCCUGAGAGGGUGACCGGCCACACUGGGACUGAGAUACGGCCCAGACUCCUACGGGAGGCAGCAGUGGGGAAUAUUGCACAAUGGGCGCAAGCCUGAUGCAGCGACGCCGCGUGAGGGAUGACGGCCUUCGGGUUGUAAACCUCUUUCAGCACCGACGAAGCGCAAGUGACGGUAGGUGCAGAAGAAGGACCGGCCAACUACGUGCCAGCCGCCGCAGUAA